rnacentral:rRNA from 1 species
AGAGUUUGAUCCUGGCUCAGAGCGACGCUGGCGGCAGGCCUAAUACAUGCAAGUCGAGCGGGUCCUUCGGGAUUAGCGGCGGACGGGUGAGUAACGCGUGGGAACGUGCCCUUUGGUACGGAACAACUGAGGGAAACUUCAGCUAAUACCGUAUGUGCCCUUCGGGGGAAAGAUUUAUCGCCAUUGGAGCGGCCCGCGUUGGAUUAGGUAGUUGGUGAGGUAAAGGCUCACCAAGCCUACGAUCCAUAGCUGGUCUGAGAGGAUGACCAGCCACACUGGGACUGAGACACGGCCCAGACUCCUACGGGAGGCAGCAGUAGGGAAUCUUGCGCAAUGGGCGAAAGCCUGACGCAGCCAUGCCGCGUGAAUGAUGAAGGUCUUAGGAUUGUAAAAUUCUUUCACCGGGGACGAUAAUGACGGUACCCGGAGAAGAAGCCCCGGCUAACUUCGUG